AAGUCGUAACAAGGUCUCCGUAGGUGAACCUGCGGAGGGAUCAUUACAGAGUUCAUGCCCGCAAGGGUAGAUCUCCCACCCUAUGUUAUAAUAACCUUCGUUGCUUUGGCGGGCCGUCAGGCCUCGGUCAGGCUACCGGCUUCAGCUGGUAAGCGCCCGCCAGAGGACCCCAAACCCUGAAUAUUAGUGUCGUCUGAGUACUAUAUAAUAGUUAAAACUUUCAACAACGGAUCUCUUGGUUCUGGCAUCGAUGAAGAACGCAGCGAAAUGCGAUAAGUAAUGUGGAUUGCAGAAUUCAGUGAAUCAUCGAAUCUUUGAACGCACAUUGCGCCCUUUGGCAUUCCGAAGGGCAUGCCCGUUCGAGCGUCAUUAAAUCCAAUCAAGCCUGGCUUGGUAUUGGGCGUCGGGGGUCUCCCGCGCCUCAAUUUCACCGGCUGGCCGUCGUCUGUCGUAGCGUUGUGAUAUACCUCUCGCUACCGAUGGGACCGGAUCAUGCCGUUAGAAUCUCGCAAAUUUCAAUCGAAAUUUGAUUAAGGUUGACCUCGGAUCGGGUAGGAAUACCCGCUGAACUUAA
rnacentral:rRNA from 1 species